UUACUAAUAGGUUAUGUAAACUAGUAGAUUGUGGUUCUAUUGAAUACUUGUUAAU
rnacentral:tRNA from 1 species